UUAAUUCUAUACCUAUAUAUAUUAUUUUGAAAUGCACAUUAUGGAACUUAGAAUGUAACAGUCAGAUAAAUAUGCACCGCAGUAGCGAGAGGCCACGUUCUCUGGAUGACAAAUUGGAUGAUUAGUACUAAAUCACGACCGCUGCACGUUCAAUGCGUUCCACUUUCUUACAAGGAUUACCAAUGAAAUAGUACCUGAUCUGACCACAAAGAGAGCCUGUCGGAUUGAAGUAAAAACAAUUGUACAUUUCGUCUGAUGAACUAACAGGAAGGGGAGAAACGUAGUAACAGGAAGUAUUCGUUUUCUGUGCGUCCCUUUCUCCGUCUAUUGAAGGUAGGCAACAAUUCACAUUAAACGUAUUGUUAUCUCUUACUUUAUUUCCGAAUAACGCAAGAUAUAUGUUUAUAAAUGAAAAAUCAAGGCGUAUUAUUAUGGUUGAAAUUAGUUUCGUGCCGCGCAGUAGCUUGUGAAAUUACGAUAACGAGCCGUAAGAUCGACAAGACCCCUUGGUUCAAGGUCAAAGUGCAAACGCUGUACUGAGCAGGUAUUUGUCUUUAAUCUAAGCUAUUAAUCCUAAGUAGCACAGAAGGCGUGUCGUUUAUAAACGUGUGAAUGUUUUGCUCGUCACAUUUUGAAGUUAAAGAAAUCAAAUUUGGAAUGUUUGGUACAUUUUAAAAGCAUUUCAUAUUCGAAUUAUAUUAGUCGACCUUCGUAGAAGUCUAUAAGAUUACAUUUUCGACAUGCACUAAAGCGCAGUCUGAUCCCAAACAGUGGCUGUUUAAUUCCAUCUGAUAGAAUUACCAAUUCAAAAUUACGGUGAGGCGAAUAGUGGUGCGCUUUUGAAUUUAAACUUGGCACGACGUCUAAGCAUUGUGUUUGCUAUUUACUUACGGUCCGGCGCUGCAAACUGGAUUCUCCGUAAACCAUAGAGAUUAUUACGUUUAGUUUCUUCGUCAAACUAACAGUUUCAGACUAAGAUUUACGUAAAAUAGUGUCCGUUU